rnacentral:rRNA from 1 species
GCGCAGGCGGUUUCUUAAGUCUGAUGUGAAAGCCCACGGCUCAACCGUGGGAGGGUCAUUGGAAACUGGGAGACUUGAGUGCAGAAGAGAAGAGCGGAAUUCCACGUGUAGCGGUGAAAUGCGUANAGAUGUGGAGGAACACCAGUGGCGAAGGCGGCUCUUUGGUCUGUAACUGACGCUGAGGCGCGAAAGCGUGGGGAGCGAACAGGAUUAGAUACCCUGGUAGUCCACGCCGUAAACGAUGAGUGCUAGUGUUAGAGGGUUUCCGCCCUUUAGUGCUGCAGCAAACGCAUUAAGCACUCCGCCUGGGGAGUACGGCCGCAAGGCUGAAACUCAAAGGAAUUGACGGGGGCCCGCACAAGCGGUGGAGCAUGUGGUUUAAUUCGAAGCAACGCGAAGAACUUACCAGGUCUUGACAUCCUUUUGCCCUCCCUAGAGAUAGGGAUUUCCCUUCGGGGACAAAAGUGACAGGUGGUGCAUGGUUGUCGUCAC